rnacentral:lncRNA from 1 species
UAUCAGGUCUUGGGCAUGGAGAUGUAAGGAAGAAAGCAAGAAGGGGCGUUGAGAUUGUUUUGUGUCCUAAGGAAGCCAUCCGCCCCUUCAUGCCAAAAACCUCAUGCCACCUUUAUUUUUGUCACACAAAUCCUUGUAAUCACAUGCCUAACCUCUUCUUAAUGCUCUAAUAGAUCAAAUCUUAUUUGAUCUUAGGUAUUCA